rnacentral:lncRNA from 1 species
GCCUUUUCAAGUGUCUGCUUACUGAUACCUCUGCCACAGGCUUCAGGGUUUGUUUUUGCAAGUUUUUUGCACAUUACGUUUAGCAAGCCUGUUUGUGUGUGACCACUAGAGUCAGACUCCUUUGGCUCUCUCCUGGUACCUGAUGGAAGGGAAGCCGUUGAUUUAGAAGCCACUAGCAACUCAUCAGAAGCUUUCUGAGUGAUGGCCAACCUUCACUUCAGAGGCAUGGCUGCUGAUUUAAUACUCUAGCUGGAGAGCCGUGACUACUUCUGACCUUUUCUUCAUGUGACUUUAGAUUACUCCGGAUUCUCAGGUUAAAAAAAUCUGUACUAGCAGAGAAACUCCAGAUGGAAGACUGUUUUCACCUUCCUCUGAAUGUCCUGUCAAGAAAUUUGCUGCUACUAAAAAUCCAGGCAAACAAGAUAACUGCAUACACAAAUCCUGUUUGUGCUGUUGGGCUUCUCUACUCUAAAUAUAGCUGGGUGGAGGAGCCCUGACCAAUAAGACAAUGGAGUCCUCUGCUUAUCUGCACCACGGCCUUGGCAUCUGCAGAGCGUCAAAAGUAGCUGAAUUUUCAAGUCUCUCUGCACCUCCUCCAGAGAAGCCCAAAUCCCAAGCGACACAAACAGACCAACAGUGCAAGAAUGGAAAUCCUGUUCAGGGCUCAGCUAGGCUUUUUCUGCAAUGUCCUCUCUGGAAGAUCUUAGAAGAGUUUGUCAGAACCGCCAGAGUUUUGUCUUUUGACAAACAUGACGUAUCUUGGCUCCAUUUCCUCCCUUGCUUAUCAUUAUUUUGUUAGCUUGUAGAUAAUUUCCAGGAGAUCUGCUCGCACCUUAAAGUCUGAUCAAAGCAAAUCCCUGGGGCUUUUUUUAAGAAGUUAUAGGGGAAAAGGGUGGGUGUCUUUCUGUCUGGUAACAGUUUCUUUUAAUCUGCAUGUUUUCUCCUUUUGUAAUCCAUAAGCACUCAUGUUUUUAGAAGGCUUGCCAGUUAUGAUAGGUUUCCUUGACGUUACUGUAACAGGCAAGGCUAAACACGGCUGUCUGGUGCCUGCAAUCCUUAGGAGUUCUGCAGGAUCUGAGUCAGUAAAAAUAAACUGAACUUUAGACAUACUCA